rnacentral:lncRNA from 1 species
UUGCUUGGACCAGUAUAAGCAAGCCAGGGCAAACAUUUAGGCUACAUUGUGGGAGCUAUGAACAUAAAGUACACUGAUUUCUUUAUUACGGCUAGCAGAUAUUUAAGAAUGUUAGCACGGGUCUUUGAAUAAAUUUUGCUUCUAAGAGAAGUUACUAUUUAUUCCUAAUUAGAUGGGGAGGAAAGUCUUUGAAGAGGAACCUCUACUUUACUUUUUACAAUAGGUUGAACUUUGGGAUGUCUGACCAAAUGUUUUCCGUCUCACCACUCAGAGUGGCCACAUGCCAGUUGCAAAGAAUAAGAUUAUAUUCAUGAGCAAGUCAGAAUCUGUCCUGUGAUAAAUGCCUGGGGGAUGAAGGUCAGCAUCUGCUCUGUCAUUUGAAUUUGAUAUUAGAAAAUUUAAAUCUGAAAAGAGAAUCUCGAAGUGGGUAUCAGAAGAAGAGAAGAUGUGAGGGACAAAAGGAUAGGAUCUACAGUGCUGUUACAUCCUCACUGGCAUCAACAAUUUAGACUCAUCUCUAUAUCCAUGUGUAACUUGUUACAGUCUGCAGUCAUAAGCUGGCCUCAACACACUGAAGUAUAUUCAGCAUUAUAAACACACUGAAACACCAAAAAGGCUGAGAUGCACAUAAUUUGAAGAGUGAAAAUGGCUCGAGAGCAUGAAGUCUCAUUAUCUGUAGGUUCUCACCUCACUGAAGCAAGACUGGUAAAUAAGUUUUGAAGAUGAAGAUAAAACAGAAUAAAUUAAGGAAGAAAAAAAAGAAGAGGAAAAUCUCCCAAACUGGCCUGUCUUCAAUGUUCCUUUGAACUGUCUCUCCUACUGCACUCUUUACAUUUUAAUGACUUGAGUGUUUACCAUUUAUGCAGGAACAUACCCUUAAUGUGCUCAGAAGUGAUGCGUACCUUCUAUACAUGAGACAGACCACCCAGCAAAAUACCAAUCCAGCUUAGGGUCUGUGAAGUAUUAUCCAUUUGUCUAAAAUGUACUGUACUAAACCUUAUAAUACUUUGUUAGCUGGUUAUGUCAAAUUCUCAUUGUAAUAUAAAGAUUUAAGUAAAAUAUGAACAAAUUGACAAUAUCCAAUACCAAAAGGCCAUAAAAACCUUUUUCAGAAAUAUAACAGACUUACAGCCUUGCGUAGGUCAGCAAAAAUGGUAUGUACCAGAGCAUAGUUAUGAAAAUUUAAAGAAGUGUAUAUUUCUUCAUUUAUUCUGUACCCGUUCAACAUUGUGACAAGCAUAACAGAUUUACAAUUCUUACAUACUUUUUGCUAUAUUUCCCCUCUCAAUAUGAUGUCAUUCCAUUUUUUUUUACAAUUUUUACAAAUGAAGACAGAGGCAGCUUAUUAAGACCAACUACUCCCAGGUUUAUUUGUGAAGAAAGUAAGACUCACCUGUGCAGGUCCAGAAAUGUUUUAUUUUUCACAGAAGCAUUAAAUUUUGGUACUAAUGGGAACAAGAAAGAUUAUCUCACCUUGUCAGUUAUUAGAUGCAGCAAUACUAAAACAAAUUUAAACUGGAAGAUUUCCUUCUCAGGGUUAUAACAAAUACUAAAUUAGGUUAUGUGUUUUGUUGUUCAGAGGCAUACAAAUAUUUGUAUAUAAUCAUUAGGGUGCUGGCAUUGAUGGGAUUAAUUAUGCAUAUUACAUUACUUAAUCAUCUUCACAUGUGAAUCUAUUAAAAUGAUAUAAAUUGAAAUAAUAUUAAACAUAAUGCUGGAUGUGAGCAGCGAGCAUCAAAGUAGAGGAAUCGGAUGCAUAUAUGUGUGUAUAAAUGUAUGUGAAUUCAUAUGUAUACACAUACACACAAAGAGAGGAGUUGGUAAGAGACAGAGAAA